rnacentral:lncRNA from 1 species
GUGAUUCUCGUGCCUCAGCCUCCGGAGUAGCUGGGAUUACAGCCACCAUCACAAAUGAAAAAAGGAUGGAGAAGAACAAGUCUGGAUGUUGGGUUGGGGACAAUCCAGUAAGACUCUGGAGUGGGUAAAUGUCUGGUGUGGAUGAAAAGAGGCCUACAGAAGAAGGGGGAGUAGAAGUAGGUUUGAGUGAGAACAGUGCGCCCACCUCCACCAAACCGGGAGCAAGUGUGACAAUACAGACUCAGAAAAGUAAAUUGGCAUGGACUGCACUUCCGGGUUGGAGCAAGUUGAAAGGCAUCAAUGUUCUGGGCUGUGAUGUCACCUUCAAUGUGACCUUGGGUCAUUCUCAAGAUCCACCCCACAUCCCCAUAACCUGGGGGUUUUUACAUUCCCAGGAUCUUUGCCCACCAAGGCCACUGCCCUUUCCCAAAGCAUCUUGUUUCCACAGAGUCUGAAGUUCACAUACUAAUGUUCUGGAGUGAUGGACUCUCUCUUAAGUAUCUUGUUUACAGUCUCAUGCUGUGCAUUUUUUUUUUUUUUACCAUGUCUGCAUGGGAUAUGGCAAAGGGUUUGGUUUAGUGUAGAUAAAAAGAAUGCUGCAGAAUCAUUCGCUAGAACCUUUAGCAUAUGAUUGCAAAGUUGGUGGGUCUUUCUCUUUUUCUCUCUAUCUCAAAGUUCAGGGCAAGUAUAAUAAUAAGUUAUUGUGUUUGGAAACAAAUUCAUGCUUAAGCAUUCUUAUGUUAUAUCCCCUCUCUGUUCCCCAGACGUGGUAUGACAUCUACUUGUGGACACACUCUGCUUUCUGGUUUUUCUGUUUCUGAUUAGAAACUCAAAAACAAUAUGAGAAACAUACCUGAAAACAGCAGAAGAUCUGGAUCAUUCCGGCCAGCAAUUCAAAGUCUGCCAAAGGGAAAUCAAGUAUUGUAGAAACCUACGGGGCCUCUCAGAGCAUUUUACCAGAACUGUGGCAGGGUGACUGAUUGUGGUAUUCUCUUUGUAUUCUCUAUGCUGAAUCAUUUGCCAGAACUUCCAAUAUAUGAUUGCAAAACUAGACUUUUUUAAUGUUAUCUUGUCUCAGAUUUCUAAGCCUGAAAGAUUGAGGCUGUUGCUGAACGAUGCUUAAUUAACCAAGGCAUUGAGCUCCAACCAUGAGGCUUUGAGGAGUUUGAUAUCUAGCCCCUCUUGGCAUCAUAUGCUAAGACUGGCUGUGAGGCUAUGAGAAUCUUAAGUACCUGCACGCUGUUCAUAAGUGGUACUCUAAAACUCCUGAGGAAAUAAGGGAGACUGGAAUUAGUGGGAUUAGCUUGUGGGAUUAGCUUGUGUCCUUUGGCUUAGCCUCUUUCUCUCCAGAAAUUUCACUUUUGGCUCAGUCCUCACAGGGGAAGAAAGUCUUGUCCAAAGAUGGCGUCUACCCUGUGCUCCACUGUGUAUCCCAGAGGAGAGCAUCUUUACUGUGGAAUGGACUUCCAGCUGACUCAUGUUGGGGAAAGGAAGCAACACAGGAGCUUAAGAGGAAAAUUGAAAGAAACCACAGACCCUUUGAAAGAAGUGGCAAACUGCAGCUUACACCAUGAGCCAGGCAGAAAACUCUGAGUCCUCAGAGUGUGAAAGGAAGAGAAACUGCCUCUGGGAUAUGCACUCCCACUGGGGAACCUGGCAAUCCAGGCCACGGGGAAGACCUUAACCCUACCCAGUGCUGGAGCUGAUUUAAUGAGCUGAGGGGAGUAUAUGAGAAGGAGCAGCUUCAGGAUGUGCUUUGCUUGCACUCCUAGACUCUACUGGGGACAGAGGGAAGCCAUUCCUGAUCCUACCUCACAGAGGACCAUGCAGAAGUCAGCCAACUAGCUCAGGCGGUGGCCAUGGGCUGAGAGGAGUGAGAAGCUCCCAACUGAGAUUCACAAUAUAAUCUCUAGCAGGGAUGGACCUCCUUGACCAGAACUGAGGGGCAAGUGGGAAGUGCGCUGUGCCCACAGGUGUAGGAGCUGGGUGCCCCUGCUUCGCUAGCAGAUCAGGAGGGGCAUGGCCUGAGCAGUUUUUGUCUUGGCAGCCAGAGAAGGCUUAUGGUCUGGGACAGUUUUGAGUGCUGAAUGCAGCCUGCUUGCAACCUAGAUGGCCGCUGCCAGUAGAACACUGUGGGUCUGAGACCUGUCUUGCCAAGUGCAUAGGGGCUGAGUGGGGCUUACUGCCACCUGUACUCCCCACUUCCUGUGUGGACUCUUCUGUGCGGCAGGGGCAACUGCACUCCUCCCUGGAACAUUAUCCCAGCAUCCAGAGAACUGCCCUCUGAUCCCCACUGGGCCACUGAUUGCACCUGCACGUGGAUAGCCAGAGCGCGAACUUGCCUGACUCAGCCCCGACCUGGUUUGCCUUUUUACCCACCCUGGUAGCUUAACACAAAGGACAGAAACUUUCGGGAGUGUUAUGGACCUGCCCAUUGCUUGAGACACCAGAGUACCUCCCCUGGUCACAUAAGCCAAGCAUGAAUUCCACCACUACUACUGCAGUCAGUGCUCUUUCGCACCAACUGCACCUCCUGGCUAUAGGCCAAUCAACAUAGUCCAUUACAACAUCUGUAGGCAGAAUAACACAGCACUGGGAAGGAGAAAACUUUUGCAUGACUACAGCUACCACCAUUGCCUGCAUCACCCUGGCUAACCAGGAGGUCUUGAGUCUGUUCACAUGACCAGAUCAUUACUACUACAACUGAAAUUAGAGAAAGCCAGCACACUAAGGCUAUUUGUAACCAAAGAAUCUCACAGAGUUUACUUUACUCCUCUGCCAGCCCCAUCAGAGCUGGUGCUGGUACCCACUGCUGGGAGACUUGAGGAUAAGUCACAUCGCUGGACCCUUUGCAGACAUUCCCUAGCACAGGCCUGGAAUGUAGCAGCCCCAUUGGGUGGCCAGAUCCAGAGCCGCAGCAGCAAUCAUAGUAGUCUGGCACUCAGGGACUCCUACUCCUAGGGUAAGCAGGAGUGCACCACAUGAAGGGAGCACCCUGUGGGACAAAGGAAUCCAGAUGGCAGGCUUUGAGUCUCAGAACUUUACAAUUGUGGGAAAUUUCUUUCAGCAGAGAGACAGGUGCAGUGCUGGGCUCAGUGGGGAAGUCUGUGGCUCUACCUCACCAGUCAGGCAGCCCUGGUGCUUGUGAAGGGUCUUGGAGAAUAGGACUUCUCCCCCUCAUGCACCACUGCUGACACAGCUGGGGUUUCUCACAAAGGAACUCGGCAUGAGUGCACCUGUAGACAGCCUUUCUGGGACCCUUCAGGUGACUGCAUUCCCACAGGACAAGUGCCCUCCAGGCUCAGGCUUGUAUGAGAGGUAGAGUCACAAUUCAUCUCUACAUUCUUGCAGCUGAAAAGACGUGUCUGUCUGAAGGUCUAACAUCCAGUAUCUGUAAGGAACUUAAACAAAUUUACAAAAAACCCCUAACCCACCCCAUUAAAAAGUAGGCAAAGGAUAU